AAUGAACGUUGGCGGCGUGGAUUAGGCAUGCAAGUCGUGCGAUAUUCCCUCGCAAGGGGGAUGAAAGCGGCGAAAGGGAGAGUAACGCGUGGAUACCUACCCUGGGGACCGGGAUAGCCGUGGGAAACUGCGGGUAAUACCGGAUAACGUCUUCGGACCAAAGGUGUGAUUCCGCCCUGGGAUGGGUCCGCGUCCUAUUAGCUAGUUGGCAGGGUAAUGGCCUACCAAGGCGAUGAUGGGUACGGGGUGUGAGAGCAUGACCCCGCUCACUGGGACUGAGACACUGCCCAGACACCUACGGGAGGCAG
rnacentral:rRNA from 1 species